rnacentral:rRNA from 1 species
AUUGAACGCUAGCGGGAUGCUUUACACAUGCAAGUCGAACGGCAGCGCGGACUUCGGUCUGGCGGCGAGAGGCGAACGGGUGAGUAAUGUAUCGGAACGUGCCCAGUAGCGGGGGAUAACUACGCGAAAGCGUAGCUAAUACCGCAUACGCCCUACGGGGGAAAGCAGGGGAUCGUAAGACCUUGCACUAUUGGAGCGGCCGAUAUCGGAUUAGCUAGUUGGUGAGGUAACGGCUCACCAAGGCGACGAUCCGUAGCUGGUUUGAGAGGACGACCAGCCACACUGGGACUGAGACACGGCCCAGACUCCUACGGGAGGCAGCAGUGGGGAAUUUUGGACAAAGGGGGCAACCCUGAUCCAGCCAUCCCGCGUGUGCGAUGAAGGCCUUCGGGUUGUAAAGCACUUUUGGCAGGAAAGAAACGUCGCGGGCUAAUACCCCGUGGAACUGACGGUACCUGCAGAAUAAGCACCGGCUAACUACGUG